UAAGGAAUAUUGCUCAAUGGGAGAAAUCCUGAAGCAGCAACGCCGCGUGGAGGAUGAAGGGUUUUUAACUUGUAAACUCCUGUAAAGAAGGAAAAAAUUCCCAUUAGAUGGGAAAUGAUGGUACUUCUGGAGUAAGCCCCGGCUAACUACGUGCCAGCAGCCGCGGUAAUACGUAGGGGGCAAGCGUUGUCCGGAUUUACUGGGUGUAAAGGGUGCUCAGGCGGAUUUGUAAGUCAGAGGUGAAAUCUCACAGCUUAACUGUGAAACUGCCUUUGAUACUGCAAGCCUAGAGUAUGGAAGAGAGUGAUGGAAUAUCUGGUGUAGCAGUGAAAUGCGUAGAUAUCAGAUAGAACACCAAUGGCGAAGGCAGUCACUUGGUCCAUAACUGACGCUAAAGCACGAAAAGCGUGGGUAGCAAAACAGGAUUAGAUACCCUGGUAGUCCACGCCCUAAAACGAUGAAUACUAGAUGUUGGCUUCGCAUGAAGUCAGUAUCUGAGCUAACGCAUUAAGUAUUCCACCUGGGAAGUACGAUCGCAAGGUUGAAACUU
rnacentral:rRNA from 1 species